AGCUAGUGAGUAGCCUCUUGGCCCAUCGAACAAUCCGACAAGACAAGGUAGACUAUUUCAAUUUGCUGAACCCUAAUCUCUUCUAUUGCAGUUGUGCAGAAGAAAUCCUUAUGUCUCCUUGUCCGCAUAGCUAUGGUGAAGAACAGAAACAACAAUAAGAUAAAUGGUCGCGCGACUAUGGAUAUCUCUUCUAACAAGACGGACACGAGUCCUCAAGCAGUGUUAAUAAUUUAUGCAACCAAAAUUGAAUCCAAAGGAGAUGAUGCCUCCGAUUGACGGCGGCGUGGGAACAUUGAGAUUCAGGAUUUUUGCUCGACGACAAAUUCGUUAGAAACCUUCUUUAUUCUUGAACAAAGAUGGCAAAGUUUGGGGCUGAGCAACUUGAUUUUGUAGUAAUAUAUUUCAAUGUUUUUUUCAACGUAUCACGCUGUAUUUUCAUGUAUUUCAUUAUAUUCAUUGUCUUUUUUUCAUUGUAAUUCAAUGUAUCUCGCUGUAUUCCAUAUAUUUCAUUGUAUUCACUGUCUUUUUUUUCGUUGUAUUUCAAUGUAUCCUGCUGUAUUCUAUAUAUUUUUUGAAUUCACUGUCUUGCUAUAUGUCAUGAAUGUAUUUAUAUGUUUUCUUAAUUAAUAUAGUUCAUGUAUUCAGAU
rnacentral:lncRNA from 1 species